rnacentral:rRNA from 1 species
AACGAACGCUGGCGGCAUGCCUAACACAUGCAAGUCGAACGAGACCUUCGGGUCUAGUGGCGCACGGGUGCGUAACGCAUGGGAAUCUGCCCUUGGGUUCGGAAUAACAGUUGGAAACGACUGCUAAUACCGGAUGAUGACGUAAGUCCAAAGAUUUAUCGCCCAAGGAUGAGCCCGCGUAGGAUUAGCUAGUUGGUGAGGUAAAGGCUCACCAAGGCGACGAUCCUUAGCUGGUCUGAGAGGAUGAUCAGCCACACUGGGACUGAGACACGGCCCAGACUCCUACGGGAGGCAGCAGUGGGGAAUAUUGGACAAUGGGCGAAAGCCUGAUCCAGCAAUGCCGCGUGAGUGAUGAAGGCCUUAGGGUUGUAAAGCUCUUUUACCCGGGAUGAUAAUGACAGUACCGGGAGAAUAAGCUCCGGCUAACUCCGUG